AGUCACUGACAUUAGAUACCCGGGUAGUCCAGGGUGUAAACGCUGCAGACUUGGUGUUGGAAGUCCUUUGGGGGCAUUCAGUGCCGGAGAGAAGUUGUUAAGUCUGCUACUUGGGGAGUACGUCCGCAAGGAUGAAACUUAAAGGAAUUGGCGGGGAGCACCACAACGGGUGGAGCCUGCGGUUUAAUUGGACUCAACGCCGGAAAUCUCACCGGAUAGGACAGACAUAUGAUAGUCGGGCUGAAGACUCUACUUGAUGAUCUG
rnacentral:rRNA from 1 species